ensembl:lncRNA
CAGUCAGGGAGAGUCUCAUCCAUGGUGGACAGGCAGGGAGAGUCAGGCAGGGAGAGUCAGGCAGGGAGAGUCAGGCAGGGAGAGUCUCGUCCAUGGUGGACAGGCAGGGAGAGUCAGGCAGGGAGAGUCAGGCAGGGAGAGUCAGUCAGGGAGAGUCUCUCAGGGAGAGUCUCGUCCAUGGUGGACAGGCAGGGAGAGUCAGGCAGGGAGAGUCAGUCAGGGAGAGUCUCAUCCAUGGUGGACAGACAGGGAGAGUCUCGCAGGGAGAGUCUCGUCCAUGGUGGACAGGCAGGGAGAGUCUCGUCCAUGGUGGACAGGCAGGGAGAGUCUCGUACAUGGUGGACAGGCAGGGAGAGUCUCGUACAUGGUGGACAGGCAGGGAGAGUCUCGUCCAUGGUGGACAGGCAGGGAGAGUCUCGUCCAUGGUGGACAGGCAGGGAGAGUCUCGUCCAUGGUGGACAGGCAGGGAGAGUCUCGUCCAUGGUGGACAGGCAGGGAGAGUCUCGUACAUGGUGGACAGGCAGGGAGAGUCUCGUACAUGGUGGACAGGCAGGGAGAGUCUCGUACAUGGUGGACAGGCAGGGAGAGUCUCGUACAUGGUGGACAGGCAGGGAGAGUCUCGUACAUGGUGGACAGGCAGGGAGAGUCUCGUACAUGGUGGACAGGCAGGGAGAGUCUCGUACAUGGUGGACAGGCAGGGAGAGUCUCGUACAUGGUGGACAGCAAACCCUCAACCUUCUGGCCUGUUGGCCCUGCGUGGCAUCAGCUGUGUCACAAAAGAAUGCUGAAGUUGUAAAGACGAUAUGUCCAUGAUUAUAAACACAGGCUUGCUACAGUUUAUUUAUGGUUGUAAUCAUCAUUGUUGUACAUUUUAGAAGGGGGGGGGGGGGUUGGUCCAUCCAGCUAUGUGACAUUGUUUGGUAUGUUUCAUGUGUUUUCUCUUCACGUAUUUAUUAGGGUGUUUAGUAGAGCAGCAAGUCAGCUGGACUUCCUUAGUGGUUACCUGGGUUACCUGGGUUGUUUCCAGACACGUUGUCAAGGUGAUACAGGUGUAAAUAGCUGACUGGACAUUGAUCUGAUUAAUGAGUACGAGAGUGUAUUCACUAGGAAAUAAACUGAAGCAAACAGGGCAAAACGGGGUUGUAUCCACCUGAAUAUGUCAAAUAGAAAUGAGUUGGCACUAAUGAAUAUACCCCAUGCCACAUGAUUCAGGUUGUAUCUGUAACACUGGUUACACCACUGAAAUGAGUUUGCACUAAUG